CAGACUCAGAGACCAUGGCUUUUGUGACUUAAAAUCACCUUGGGGACGUAACCCUUCUCAGGCAGGUGAAAGAAGUGUCUUACGCCUCCAGGAGAAAUUUCCCCAAGGCCCAUCCAUGACAGACGUGGCAAAGGAGCAUAAUGGAAGAAUUAGCCUUACAAACUUAGCCUUGAUGGCAGGAAUCACCAAGGACAACAGACCUGGAAUCUCCUCUCCAGGAACGGAAGUGGGGCUUCAUCUAGAACAUUCUAGGUGGUCCUCUCAGUGACGGCUGCCAGGAAUUUCUGCGAAGAGAACCCUGAUGUGCAGACAUGGGAAAAGCUUCAUGGAGCUUUUGUUUCUUGGCAGUCAACAUUCCCCAGAGUAUAGAUGCUAUUACCGUCUAAAGGAAGGUUUGACAUUGUUGCGACUGAGCUUUGUAACUAACUCUUAGCCCAAGGCCAGGACUGGGAAAAUGAGAAUUUGCUGAGAAAGUGACCCCCACACCCAAACACAAAGUGCGAGCCCCUGUACUGAUCACCUGCCAUGAAAGGAACCGGGCUUGGAUUGAUGUCCAAAUAUUGCCAUUGACUUGAUGAAGUAAAAUGAAACUGGGAGCAGACCCAGGGACUUUCAAACAGAAAUGUUUCGAUUGUUUUUAUCGUUCUGUGUUAUGGGAUUUGAAAUGAAAUACCCACAAAAGACUAUCCCCUGCCGUGGGUGGUGAGCUGGGAAAGGCGGGUCAUGAUAAGCAAGAAGAGGAAACACAGCAAAGCAAAGAUGCUUUGUGAGGAGGCCGGCACUC